UACCCCCGAUCAAGCAAGAAGACCCGCUGAA
rnacentral:rRNA from 1 species